UACAGAGGGUGCGAGCGUUGUCCGGAAUCACUGGGCGUAAAGGGCGCGUAGGUGGUGGCUUAAGCGUGCGGUGAAAGCUCGGGGCUCAACUCCGGGUCGGCCGUGCGAACUGGGGGGCUGGAGCACUGUAGAGGCAGGCGGAAUUCCGGGUGUAGCGGUGGAAUGCGUAGAGAUCCGGAAGAACACCGGUGGCGAAGGCGGCCUGCUGGGCAGUUGCUGACACUGAGGCGCGACAGCGUGGGGAGCAAACAGG
rnacentral:rRNA from 1 species